GGAUGUUAGCGGCGGACGGGUGAGUAACACGUGGGUAACCUGCCUGUAAGACUGGGAUAACUCCGGGAAACCGGAGCUAAUACCGGAUAGUUCCUUGAACCGCAUGGUUCAAGGAUGAAAGACGGUUUCGGCUGUCACUUACAGAUGGACCCGCGGCGCAUUAGCUAGUUGGUGAGGUAACGGCUCACCAAGGCGACGAUGCGUAGCCGACCUGAGAGGGUGAUCGGCCACACUGGGACUGAGACACGGCCCAGACUCCUACGGGAGGCAGCAGUGGUCA
rnacentral:rRNA from 1 species